ensembl:lncRNA
GAAUGUCCGAGAAGCUCAUCCUCAGCAGUUGCAUUCUCCUCUGGACUAUACAGCCAUGUUCACAAAGCUGACUGCAAUCAUGUUAAUGGUAUCCCAGUUGUCUGCUUCAGACACCACUUCCAGUGGGUUACAUGGACCCUGUGGUCCUCCUGGACCUGCUGGACCCCCAGGUGUUCCUGGACCUGCUGGAACCCCAGGUUUUCCUGGAACCCCAGGUUUUCCUGGACCUGCUGGACCCCCAGGUGUUCCUGGACGUGCUGGACCCCCAGGUUUUCCUGGAGCCCGAGGUGCUCGUGGACCUUCUGAUAGACCAGUCCAGUACUGGGGACCAUACUGUGAGAAAAGCAUCAGAACCACUUCAGAGCUGAUGGUGUCUGUGACCCCCGAUAAUGUCACCGAGGGACAGAAUGCCACUUUGACCUGCAGGUCAUCUUGUCCCCUCCGUCAGAAUGCCAAACUUGUCUGGUACAAGAACUCCCAGCCGCUGCCUAAGAAAAACUCCACCA